CAUUGACUUCUCGUGACCAUUCAUUUGAUCGAAUUAUGAAUGGUGCGAUCUAGUCGAAGCG
rnacentral:pre_miRNA from 1 species